GGGCUUUUCUGUCAGAAGGCCGUGGGGAAGGUGGGGGGGGGACCGUUUUGUGUGCUACAACCGUGGGAAGAGUCUCGCUAUUUCAGCAAGGAGGAGUGUGCAAACGAUGAAACCCUCCUCAACUGGGUAGUCUAGGAGACGCGUACAUUAGCGGUCGGAUUUUUAUUAAUCAUCAAAAAGGUCGUUUCCAGCGUCUGGGGGAGAAACGAAUUAACCGGGGCUGCUCCGAGCCGCUCGGAUAUUUGACACCGGGCUGCUGGUGCGGGAAAUAUGGAGACGAAACCUGGUAUUCAAGUUAAAGAGGAAGUUCAGAUUAAAGAGGAAGUUCAAAUAAAAGAAGAAAAUACUGACCAGUACCCUGACCAGUUGAUAGAGAAUAUCGCUGAAGUUGAAUCUGUCAUCAUAAAAGAAGAGCCCGACGACAGCGAGGAGGACAGCCCUGAGUCGCUGCUGCUCGUCGGAGACGAGACCUCCGGCCUGCACCAAGCGCUGCUCGCCAGCAGGAAAAGUAUGUAACGUUUUUUUUUUCCCCCCAAAGAUUUUGUUCACAUGACUGCGUUUCAGAGAAACCCAGAAGACCCUGACAGCACGGGUCUCCACCUCUGGUCCUUAAGAGCCCCCAGUUCAGCCGGACUUGUAGCUCACUGUGAAAUCACUCGACCCGUUCAGCUUGUUUUGGUUCUGCAAGGAUCAAACUGAAUCAAACUCUCAUAAAUAAAAGUGUCAACAUUUCACUUCCUACAUUUAAACUCCUCAACGUGCUUAAAAACACACAAGCUUCGCUGCACCUUCAAACAUCUUACUUCUGUAUUGGCAUCAAUUUACGAUCCCUGGGAAUGCCAAGGUAUUUCAGAUUCAUUUAGGAUUUCAAAAUCGGUUCCGUGAAUAGCCACAGGAAUAGAACAUUUCUUUCAAAAAUCAGUUGUUUUAGUUGUGCUUAAAAACCAGCGCUGUCUCCUGAUGUCAAUGAUGAAAAAAGAUUCAUCCCCUGUCUGUAAUUGUAUUCGUCAUCAUUCAGACGUCCAGUCAGGGCUCCAUCAUCCACAUACUUGGUAAUUGCACAGAUGUCAGAGCGGCGUACACGAUCAUCAGUGUACAGUGUGAAAAGCAGUGGGGACAGCACGCACCCUUGGGGUACCCCUGUGCUGGUGCUGAUGGUGAGAGACGUCCCCGAGCUCACUCGCACAGACUGUUCCCAAUGAGUAAG